UACGAAGGGGGCUAGCGUUGCUCGGAAUCACUGGGCGUAAAGCGCACGUAGGCGGAUUGCUAAGUCAGGGGUGAAAUCCUGGAGCUCAACUCCAGAACUGCCUUUGAUACUGGCGACCUUGAGUCCGGGAGAGGUGAGUGGAACUGCGAGUGUAGAGGUGAAAUUCGUAGAUAUUAGGAAGAACACCAGUGGCGAAGGCGGCUCACUGGUCCGAUACUGACGCUGAGGUGCGAAAGCGUGGGGAGCAAACAGG
rnacentral:rRNA from 1 species